UGGGGAAUAUUGGACAAUGGGGGCAACCCUGAUCCAGCAAUGCCGCGUGUGUGAAGAAGGUCUUAGGAUUGUAAAGCACUUUCGGCGGGGACGAUGAUGACGGUACCCGCAGAAGAAGCCCCGGCUAACUUCGUGCCAGCAGCCGCGGUAAUACGAAGGGGGCUAGCGUUGCUCGGAAUGACUGGGCGUAAAGGGCGCGUAGGCGGAUUGGAUUGUCAGGCGUGAAAUUCCUGGGCUCAACCUGGGGACUGCGUUUGAGACAUCUAGUCUAGAGUUUGGAAGAGGGUCGUGGAAUUCCCAGUGUAGAGGUGAAAUUCGUAGAUAUUGGGAAGAACACCGGUGGCGAAGGCGGCGACCUGGUCCUUGACUGACGCUGAGGCGCGAAAGCGUGGGGAGCAAAC
rnacentral:rRNA from 1 species